rnacentral:rRNA from 1 species
CCUACGGGAGGGCUGCAGUGAGGAAUAUUGGUCAAUGGGCACGAGCCUGCACCAGCCCAGUAGCGUGGAGGAUGACUUCCCUACGUGUUGUACCCUUCUUUUAUAAAAGAAUAAAGUGAUGCACGAAUGCCUUUUUGUAUGUCCUUUAUGGAUAAGGAUCCGCUAACUCCGUGCCAGCCGCCGCCGGCAUACGGAGGCUCCGAGCGUUCUCCGGAUUUAUUGGGUUUAAAGGGAGCGUAGAUGGGUUGUUAAGUCAGUUGUGAAAGCGUGCGGCUCAACCGUAAAAUUGCAAUUGAUAGUGGCAGCCUUGAGUACAGUUGAGGUAGGCGGAAUUCGUGGUGUAGCGGUGAAAUGCUUAGAUAUCACGAAGAACUUCGAUUGCGAAGGCAGCUUACUAAACCGCCACUGACACUGAUGCUCGAAAGUGUGGGUAGCAAACAGGAUUAGAUACCCCAGUAGUC